rnacentral:rRNA from 1 species
UACGAACUGUGCGAACGUUAUUCGGAAUCACUGGGCUUAAAGGGUGCGUAGGCGGCUGCCUAAGUCAGGUGUGAAAUCUCUCGGCUCAACCGGAAGCAUGCGCUUGAUACUGGGCGGCUCGAGUGAGGUAGGGGUGUGUGGAACUUCCGGUGGAGCGGUGAAAUGUGUAGAUAUCGGAAGGAACGCCAGCAGCGAAAGCGGCACACUGGGCCUUUUCUGACGCUGAGGCACGAAAGCCAGGGGAGCGAACGGG